CCGUACUGCUCUUUUUACAGUUUUAUAAACUUCGUGGAGAACGAUCUCUCCAUUCAGCUCCACUCUAAUCCUGAGGGGCGUUUCUUUAAACGCGCAUCCAAGCCCCUUGAUCCUUUACAUAAACUAGAACAAUCAUAUGCUUAUAUGUGCCGCGGCUCACAGUGCUGUGGCAACACAAUGAUAGAGAUUCCUGAUCGUGAUGUUAAAUUGCAGGCGCAGAUUCUCCGAUUUCAAAACGAUUUGGAGCACAGUUGAAAAGUUAACGCGCGGACUACACACAUACUAAUAAAUGCAGUAUUUUUAAAUGCGUGAGAUAUAAACGUGUGCCACGAGAGCGCGGAAAGAGGGUCAAAUGCGUGUCUCACGGCCAAUGCGUGGGAGUUGGCAGCUCUGGUUUUUAGUUUUCGGUUUAAGGUUGCGUUCCAAAUACGUAAAAUACAUCCUCCUCCACUACCCUCACCCUUGGGGGAAUCCCAGCGGCCAUCUUUGCCGUUGUUGGUCCAAACAAUUACCCAAGCAAGGGAAGUUGGCAAGUAAGCCCCUCUGCCCUCGUUUGUGAUCGAGUGUAAAAUUCUGUUCACUCUGGGGUCUGAAAGCCCCAUAAUUCAAUUUGCAAUGAUUGUACAUUGGCUAAGAAAAGUCAGCCAAAACUUAAAACCAAAAUCAAUAUGGAGAGAAGUCAACAUACAAGUGUGUGUGUUUCAGGAUGGCUUCCUGAUAUCCCCCCCCAAGCAGCUGAUUGAUCGACUCCAUGGCUAAUCAUUGCUAAGAGAGGAGGUUGAUGGCUGGGGGUCAUUAUGUUGGUUGUUGCUAACAGAGAUGGUUAUGUUCUGUGGUUGUUGCUGAGAGAGCUGAUUUGAUGUUCUGUCUUGGUUGUGGCUCAGAGACAGGUUUUGUUAAGUAUUUUUGUAGCUGCUGAUUUGAGGUAUGUGUAUUAGAGGGGGCUUUGAGAUUUACUUUCUUUGCUUUGGUUCCAUCCAGCCCCUUUUCCCCAUAUUACCGUGUGACGGAA
ensembl:lncRNA